GAUAGCUGAAACAGUCCCUGUGCAAUCUAAUCAGACACUCCACAUUCGCGUCCAUUUGGGUUUAUUUCUUAUCUGAACGUGACAGGACUCGGGCGCAGCAACAUGAAUGGAACUAAAUACAUUAUGGUGGCUGGUGUCAUCAUUUUGUCUUGGCUUGGAUCACCUGGCCACACGUUCAUUCUGGACACCAUAACAGAUCCAUGCUCGUACAAUUCCUACGCCAUUUACUGCUCCGCACGUGAUCUUACUCGGAUCCCUUCUUUUGACGAGAAACUAUUCAAUAAUACCCGGUUGCACUGGACCGGAAUAAGAUUUCCAGCAUUCCAGACGAUGCAUUUCAAACUUUACGCUUCAUGAACUGUUCAUUAGCUAUUCAUAUCGAUCAAAAUAACAUUUCGCAAUUAAGCGAAUACGCGUUUCGUGGCAUCGAAUCAAGCGUGACCGGAUUUUAUCUUGACAACAACAACCUUCUAACGUUGCCAGAAGCAAUAAGCUCGCUUACACAUCUGGAAUCUCUUUCUAUUUUACAAAAUACUUUAUUAUCGUUAAAUUCCGCAGUCGCGGCUAAAAUUGGACUUUCUCUUAAACGUCUAGAUCUUGGGAUGGCAUCAUUUCAAAGAUGGCCUUCUAACAAUUUCUUAGAAUAUAUUGAAGAUAACGAUAUGAAUGGGUUAAGUAAUUUAACACAACUUUAUCUACAAUUUAAUCCAAUCCAAAAUAUCACAUUAAUGGCAUUUCACAAGACGCCUAAUCUAAUACGACUGAUUCUGUCGAACACCUUUCUAACCACUUUGCCUGGCGCCGUCACUGUGCUACCAUCUCUUCAUCUGCUUAAUCUUACUAACACAUACGUUGAAUGUUCUUGUGACAUGGUGAAUCUGAAGGGUUGGAAAGUAUCUUACAUAGUGCUUGACGGAGAAUGUUACCAAAGAAGUCAACGUAUUCAAGAGUAUCUCACGAGUUACAUCGAUACCGAUAGAUGCUAGAUAUGUCAAGAUUUAGCUUUUUGUGUAGACAAUUGUUUAAACUUCCUACCCCUUUCACUUGUUUAUUGUUUUUAUUACAUAAGUAUUUAAAGGUAUAUGUCAAUAAAAAUCAUUCAAAAACCAUGAAAGUUUUUUUUGUAAUUGAGCAUACUUUAAAUUAAUAAUAAGACAGGUAAUCGAUGUUGUUUUACUUGAAUAAUUAUCAACAGCAUCAUUUAUCAUUCAACACAUAAAACAAAAUAUUUAAAUGUUCGUCUUUAUGAUACGUUAAUAAUUAUAAACGGGUGAUUAUAACAAUUUAUUUUCUUUAAUAAUCGUGACAUAAAAUUAUUGUAUAGUAGUUUGAAUAUUAAUUUUUUUAUAACGGGUAAUUAUUUUCUAAGUUUAAUUUAUACUUGCAGUUUGAUCAAGCAAGUUAAGUCUGCUUUCCGGUACCACUUAAAUUAAACAUACUUAAUACUUAUGACCAUGUACAUUUACAUCAGUAUAAUAGUUUUCCGUUUUGUUAAUUUGCCUUUUUGUGAGUGUGUUUAAGAAAAUAAAGGUUAGAAUAUGUU